GAAAGUGUUGAUAAACAGUGCGGAAAAGACAACAUCACUUUUACUCUGCCGGUCGCCAUCGCGUUUUUUUUCUUCCCGCGAGUUGUUCCGGUUGGUUCUGCCGUUUGCCGAUAUUGGCCCGUUGAGAAGCUGCCACGGGACUCACCAAUCAACGAACGCCAGUCGCACGCAGAACGCUGGAAGCGAACCCGGGAAAAGCCGACAGAAAAGUCGGGACAGGAUCCGCUGGACGUGAGGGAGCCGACACCUCCCGCCGUGAGAGGCCAAUUUGCCAGAGACGGAGCUAUUCGGAGAGCGGACAUCCCUCAACAAAACGUUGCGACGUGAAACCACCCACUGAAAUUCAACGGUUCGGACGCAGUCAACAAGAACCGGUAAGUGAAGCAUCUCUGAGGGAAUAACAAAUGGCUAAUGUUUUGCUUUUGCAUCAGAUUGGGACAGCCAAGUUCGGCAUCGACCAAGCCGCCCAGAAGUUGCUAUUCUCAGGCCCCAGAUUGGGUGAGUGCGGAUAUGGUGAGUGAGAAGAAGUAUGUUGCUGAUUCGAUGUGUUUAUUUAAGGGUUUUUCUGAGGAGCUGAGGCCAAGCGUCGAGAGAGCUGAACUGGACCAUCGAGACUCUUCAGCGACAGCGCCGGUUCCCGGAUUGGAAGGCGAUCGCCCUCUUCCAGUGGUGCUCAAAUCCGCUUUGGUCAUCUGAUGACGUAGGAGGUCGCUGCAAAGAGUAAGAACGAGAAAAAAGAAGUAAGUGCUAGAUCUUGUAAGAAGAAGAGGCAGAAAGAAGGACAGAAGCGAGAUUAAAAGGAGAAUAAGAAGAGAAAGAAGAGCGCGGCGGAGAAGAAGAAGAAGAAGAGCGAGGCAGAGAAGAAGAAGAAGAGCGAGGCAGAGAAGAAGAAGAAGAGCGAGGCAGAGAAGAAGAAGAAGAGCGAGGCAGAGAGGAAGAAGA